rnacentral:rRNA from 1 species
GAUGAACGCUGGCGGCGUGCCUAAUACAUGCAAGUCGAGCGAACAGACGAGGAGCUUGCUCCUCUGACGUUAGCGGCGGACGGGUGAGUAACACGUGGAUAACCUACCUAUAAGACUGGGUUAACUUCGGGAAACCGGAGCUAAUACCGGAUAAUAUAUUGAACCGCAUGGUUCAAUAGUGAAAGACGGUUUUGCUGUCACUUAUAGAUGGAUCCGCGCCGCAUUAGCUAGUUGGUAAGGUAACGGCUUACCAAGGCAACGAUGCGUAGCCGACCUGAGAGGGUGAUCGGCCACACUGGAACUGAGACACGGUCCAGACUCCUACGGGAGGCAGCAGUAGGGAAUCUUCCGCAAUGGGCGAAAGCCUGACGGAGCAACGCCGCGUGAGUGAUCAAGGUCUUCGGAUCGUAAAACUCUGUUAUUAGGGAAGAACAAAUGUGUAAGUAACUAUGCACGUCUUGACGGUACCUAAUCAGAAAGCCACGGCUAACUACGUG